rnacentral:rRNA from 1 species
GAUGAACGCUGGCGGCGUGCCUAAUACAUGCAAGUCGAGCGAACAGACGAGGAGCUUGCGCCUUUGACGUUAGCGGCGGAGGGGAGAGUAACACGUGGAUAACCUACCUAUAAGACUGGGAUAACUUCGGGAAACCGGCGCAAAUCCCGGAUAAUAUAUUGCACCGCAUGGGUCAAUGGUGAAAGUCGGUGUUGCUGGCACUUCUAGAUGGAUCCGCGCCGCAUUAGCUAGUUGGUAAGGUAACGGCUUACCAAGGCAACGAUGCGUAGCCGACCUGAGAGGGUGGUCGGCCACACUGGAACUGAGACACGGUCCAGACUCCUACGGGAGGCAGCAGUAGGGAAUCUUCCGCAAUGGGCGAAAGCCUGACGGAGCAACGCCGCGUGAGUGAUGAAGGUCUUCGGAUCGUAAAACUCUGUUAUUAGGGAAGAACAAAUGUGUAAGUAACUAUGCACGCCUUGACGGUACCUAAUCAGAAAGCCACGGCUAACUACGUG